UACGAAGGGAGCGAGCGUUGUUCGGAAUCACUGGGCGUAAAGCGUGCGUAGGCGGACUAGCAAGUCAGGAGUGAAAUCCCAGGGCUCAACCUUGGAACUGCUUCUGAAACUGCUAGUCUAGAGUCCCGGAGAGGUUGGCGGAAUUCCGAGUGUAGAGGUGAAAUUCGCAGAUAUUCGGAGGAACACCAGUGGCGUAGGCGGCCAACUGGACGGGAACUGACGCUGAGGCACGAAAGCGUGGGGAGCAAACAGG
rnacentral:misc_RNA from 1 species